rnacentral:rRNA from 1 species
CACGUAGGAGGCGAGCGUUGUCCGGAAUCAUUGGGCGUAAAGAGCGCGCAGGCGGCUUGGCAAGUCGGGUGUGAAAUCCCGGGGCUCAACCCCGGGACUGCAUUCGAUACUGUCAGGCUAGAGGUAGGUAGGGGAGAUCGGAAUUCCUGGUGUAGCGGUGAAAUGCGAAGAUAUCAGGAGGAACACCGGUGGCGAAGGCGGAUCUCUGGGCCUUACCUGACGCUCAGGCGCGAAAGCUAGGGGAGCGAACAGG